GACGAACGCUGGCGGCGUGCCUAAUACAUGCAAGUCGAACGCAGUGGGGACGGGUGAGUAACACGUGGGUAACCUCCCAUCAGAGGGGAUAACACUUGGAAACAGGUGCUAAACCGAUACUGAUGGCUGGACCCGCGGUGCAUUAGCUGGUUGGCGGGGUAAAGGCCCACCAAGGCGACGAUCAGUAGCGGGGCUGGGAGGAUGAGCCGCCACACGGGGACGGAGACACGGCCCAGACUCCUACGGGAGGCAGCAGUGGGGAAUUUUGGACAAUGGGCGCAAGCCGGAUCCAGCCAUGCCGCGUGUCUGAAGAAGGCCUUCGGGUUGUAAAGGACUUUUGUCAGGGAAGCGGUACCUGAAGAAUAAGCACCGGCUAACUACGUGCCAGCAGCCGCGGUAAUAC
rnacentral:rRNA from 1 species